rnacentral:lncRNA from 1 species
GGACUAUUUCCUCCAAAAAGCAACCAAUACGAAACUCCGGCUAGGCUAAUAUUUAUUCCCUUAUUUCCCAGUCUCUCACCCAAGAAAGCAAAUCAUAGCUCCCUACAAGGCCGAAUGAAAGGAAGGGGGGGCGCUUUACGAAUCGAGUGGAUUUCAGCUACGACAUCCAACGCCACAGCCGUAAUGAUACAGGAAUGGAAUUUGCAACUAAGAGCUGGUGCUGUGCCAUAAGCUUCCCCCAUGUUGCUGACCUUCCCCUUGGGAUUUUGAGAUCGGAGAUCCUUAGUAGGAAACCUUAAACGAAUCAUCGGAAUUGUUGAGUAACAGUAUAUACCCCGUACGGAAUAUGAUAGGAGGUUUGUUGUGUGCUAAGAGGCGUAGUGUAGAGUAGAGUAUGUAGGGUUAGGUUAGUGGCGUAGGAAAAGGAUAUGCGAGAUAAAAGUAUCUAGGCAAAAGGCGAAAAUCGGCCUGGAAAUAGAAUAGUUCAGUAUCGGAUGACUCUAGAACAUAAGAUUGAUUGUCAGCUAGAAGGAGGGAUUACAAAUAGAUAGAGUUAAGGCUGUUAAGCUAACGAGUGGAUAAACCAAUAGUUGAGCCCUAACGGUCAAUCACAGUACGUAUAAAAAAUCCACCGCGGAUGCUUGGAAGAUACUCCGUUGUAGUGGAGGGGUAAUGACCACAUGCAGAAUGAUCAUAAUCUGACAUGCUGCAGUCCGAUCCCGAGUAAGAGGACAUAGAUGCAUGAUACAUGUUCAAACUAACUGACAGUCUAACAUAGAUGCAUGUGGCCUCAUCAAGACCCAGACAGAACAAGAAGAGCCUGAGACAUAAAGGGCAAACAGUACGAGACAACGCCAAUGCCGAGACGUAAAUGGCAUUUUUUCAGCUCAGCCAUGGAUGGACGAAUGAAUGAGGCAACCUGGAAGCUCAUCAAAGUUCAAACUCUGCGCAAUUAGAGUUCUUAGUGGGCAGCCAGGCUAUCCAUAGUAGUGGGGAUCCAUUACAGAGUAUACUACGUACAUAUCCUGGACUUCAGUCUUGUACUCUAUAGACUUAGAGUAGAAAAUGAAAUGCCCUUGUACUACAGAGUAGAGCAAGCAAGCAAGAAGAUGCAUGAGAAUUGGCAGCAGCUGAUUGGGCUGGCGAUAUUACCAAAGCCGGGGAAGAAAAAACGGCCAAUCACAUCACGUGGUUCUCGCUAGGGCUGGGGACUUUCAGCUGCGCCGGGUCUGAUGCUUUGUCCACAACGCCUCUGCUACGUAAGUUAGUAGAUUAGCUCCCCUGUUCUUGUCUAAGUUUCUAGUUAUCAGUCUUUGGCAUCUCUGGUCCCAAAAAGCGGUCUCACCGACGAAUCGCCCUGUGGCGCAAGGAGGAUGCAUGCGCCACUUCCCUCGCAGCCGAUUGUGGCGCAGACAUCCACCUUCAGUCGACUUCUCAUAGAGUUCAACUACAUAAGUUAUACCUCGCCUCACUCCUCUCCACUCUUACGUACUAUGGGACGCAUUGGGAUGUUAUUCUCGCCUUAGCUUAGUCGCUAUUAAUGCCAUCCAGGCAGCAGGAUUUUGUCUCAUCAAACUGCCUUUCGGCGGCGACAUCGACUCAAUCAUGGCAGGAUCUCCAUCCAUGUAGCUCACGUCAGACAGACGAUUGGCACAAUGAUAGUUACUACACUAUCACAGCUUACCCCGUAAUCACUGUGGAAAUUGCGACGCCUCCAGGCCUUAAUACGCUUGCUUUAUAGGGUUUCCAACUUCGACUCACUGCCGUGUGGGAAAACGACAAUGACGCCAAUUCCCGAAGACUUCUUUUCGAAGGCCACCUCAUAAUCAACAUCCCGUAUUCAGACCAGGACUGACGGGAUCCUUCCG